UCAAACUAUAGUCAAACACUGUCAGUUAAAUAAAUUCAACAAAAAUGGCAUCAACACUAAAUACCUAAAUAAAAAAAUAAUAUUUAUUAAAAAUUUCAACAAUGUCUACUUAGAACACCUCUAUAAACCCACUAAUGCAUUAACCCAUCAUUAAAUGCUGAAAACAUAAUGCAGUUCAAUCAGCCAAUAUAUAAUGGGCCCGCAAAUGGCUACCACGGUACUUGUCAAAUACCAUUUCGAUAUACCGACAUUAAAGGCGAAGGUGAUGUCACAUCUGUAAUGUUUCCUGAUGGCACUGUGCAAUUUUAUUUUGUUCCUACAUUGAGACGAGAGAAAUUCGUUCCAUAUUCGAAUGCCCAUAAUCCAAACAUAUACCCAACCUUGAGACCAGUCGGCAACGAGCUGUGGUAUAUAAGGAGCAUCCCCUACCCCGUUCUGGAUAAUCAGUUUCUGGGGCAAAACAUAAAUGUUGGCGAUCCAUUUUUAAGGUCAUACUUCUUGUCUAAGAGUAACCUAGCGCCUCCUGUUGAAUUUUGUCAGAAGUUUCACAACGACAACAGUUCCUCGACGUCAGAUAUACAUUAUUUUUAUCCAAGUCUGCGCAGCUUUUGUAAGGCAACCAAACGAGGUGUUUCAAUUCAAGUGGACGGACCGCGGAAAGUUACAACCUCCUGUCAAUCAGAGCAGCGCUGUUCUUGCAACGGUGAUGCCAAACGACACAAAGAGAAGAUACUCAACAUAAACACCAGCAGCGCUAUGUCAAUAGACAGCGAAAACUCCUAUAGAACCAAGAGUAAACGUACGUACAAUAAAAAAAGUAAACGAAAGCCGAAGACGCGCUGUCAUUGUAAAACGAGGAGUGAUAUGGUUGACAAGCAGAGCACGACGUAUACCGACCGUGCUUGUAACAGUAUGAGCCCGCCACGAAGACAUAAUUCCUGGGAAGAUAACGUGUAUAAGUUGACAUUGUCCGAUUCCUGCGCGACAGCCAGUUGCUGUGACCAAACGUGCGUUUGUGACUACACGACAGAUUCCAGUAAAUAAAUGUAAAUUGUUGAA